rfam:Glycine soja cultivar W05 scaffold208_70, whole genome shotgun sequence.
CCUACUUGAUUGGAUCUGGGUCUGAAAAACUCAAAGAUUGAGUGUUGUCAUCAGCUUGAUCUCUUGUUUAACCACGGGAUAGGAGUUAAAUAACAGCACUACAUCU